CCUCAGCACAGUCAUUGUGUCCAACUACAACUAAAAAAUUUAAAAAAAAAAAAUUAAAUCUGAGUUGUUAAAACACCACAGUACAAAAUGAAAUUACUCAGAAUAAAGUUAAAAAUAUAAGUGUUCUUAUAAUCUAUAAUGUGGCUAAUGAGAUACUAAGAUUUUUUAUCCCUAGUUUUGGUAUAACCUAACAGUGUAUAUUAAUUUAAUUCAAUUUUCAUUUGUGUGCAUUGUGACUGAAUCAGAGAACAAACAUUUCUUCUACACAGACUGACUAGAAAACAUGUAUCACAGAUGCCUUAUCAGCCACUCAUUGUAGCAACAAAUCUCCAUUCAUUAGCUUGUAGGACUACAUGGAAUUGAACUCUGAUUUAUAGAUUAAGAGAAGACUGUGAAGGAAAUAAAAUUGUUGUUUCUUAGAAUAAUGGGUUCUUAGGAAAAUUUGUAAAAUGCCCAGUCUUUUUAGCCAAAUAAAUUUCCAAGCAGUUCUCUUACUAAAAGAAUACCCCAGUCUUGCUCACUGAACUGUAGAAAUUUAUCUUCAUCUUUGUCUUCAUGUUGUGUGGUGCUAACUUGCCUACCUAGCAAAAGCUGUACUGAUUCUGAAUACAGAUACCUGUCUUCCCAGACUUUUACCUAGAAAAGUGAGCGCUUGCCUCCUGUUUCCCAAAAUAAUACCCAAAGGAAAUACCCAGGAACUGAAGUUGCAGCUCUCCUAGGUAUAAAUUAAGCACUUGGGAAGACUUUUUAGUUCUUUUCCAACAGUAAAAUAUGGAGGAUCAGGGUUCUGACGAGUGUUUCAGGCCCUGAAAGCAUCUCCGUUGAUGAAAAAGCAAAGUAAAAAAUGAGGAAAAUGAGGAGGAAAGCCAAGAAAAGAAAAUCCUGCCCAUGUGCAGUAACUUUUUUCCUCACUGGGACUUUAUGGAGGAAAAAGGAAAUAAAUUCCAUUGAAGGUACUAGAAAUGUCAAAAAACCUUAAGCCAAUCUAAAUAUCUGGCAAUGAAGAAUGAAUGCACAUGGUGUGGAUUGUUCUAUUGCAUAGCAUAGAACUUUUGAGAACUCAUAAUUCAGAGCUUCAUAUAGAAACAUACUACAAAAAUGUUGAGAAAAGCAAGUUAUGGAAGGUACACUAGGAUAUUGUGUUUAAAAAUGUGUAAGAUAAUAUAUUUGUUUUUAUCAUUUUAUAUAGAUCAAAUGUAUAAAACUUGUAAUGGACUACAAAGCCAAAUCCAGAUAAUAAAUGUGAGGGGGACAUAAUAAAGAGUGGGAUUUGGGAAUGGCACAGAGAUUCGAUUGCACCUCUGGGAGUUUCUUAAACUGGUUGAUAUGUAUACAGGUGUUCAUUUCAACAUUCUCACUUUUUUAUUAUGCCUAUUUUUCACUUAAAAAUUAUAACUUAGGCUCACAUUUAGAACUUCAUGAAAUAGAUAUAAAACCUGACUUAGGUAGAAAAGUGGCAAAGUUCAUAUCCAUAUACUAAAUUGAAGAGAAAAUUUUCCAAUACCUUUUGAAAAAGUCACUAAAUUCAUAUGUCUUAUAGUGAAUUUUAUCUGUUUCUGUAUUUAGAUAAUUUUCUGUGUUACAGGAAUUAUUCUAGGUGGUAAGAAAAAGUGUAGCAAAAGUUUUAAAAUAGUGUCAAAAAUUUUUAAAAAGACUGAUGAAAUUUCCUUGUAAAGUUGAUAGCAAAAUUUCUUAACCUAUCAAUAACCAAGAAUACUACAUUGUGGC
rnacentral:lncRNA from 1 species